AAGUCGUAACAAGGUCUCCGUAGGUGAACCUGCGGAGGGAUCAUUAACACGUACGAAUAACAAAGUAGAAUGGUACCGGUAUACUGGUACUGACCUACUUUAUUAUUUAUACCAACUCGUGAACGAAACUGUAUGAACCGCCUCCUUAGCUUUGUUACUAACCUAACAUUGCUAAGCUAUGUGUUUUGAUGUAUUCUUAUCAUACAAACCAACGUAUAAAUUGUAACUAACUGACAUAAAAGUACACAUAUGUAACAGUAUGUGUGAUGGUUAUGUCACAGUUAAAUUAAACAUUUUAAGCACAACUCUUAGCAACGGAUAUCUCGGUUCUC
rnacentral:misc_RNA from 1 species